rnacentral:rRNA from 1 species
GACGGAGGAUGCAAGCGUUAUCCGGAAUGAUUGGGCGUAAAGCGUCCGCAGGUGGCAGUUCAAGUCUGCUGUCAAAGACCGGGGCUUAACUUCGGAAAGGCAGUGGAAACUGAACAGCUAGAGUAUGGUAGGGGCAGAGGGAAUUCCUGGUGUAGCGGUGAAAUGCGCAGAUAUCAGGAAGAACAUCAAUGGCGAAGGCAACCUUCUGGGCCAUAAUUGACGCUGAGGCACGAAAGCGUGGGGAGCGAACAGG